rnacentral:lncRNA from 1 species
AUCGUUUAAGUUUUCUUUUUUCCUCUGAGAUCUAUGCGAGAAUACAGCAAGUUUAGAGUAAGAAAUACUAGAUUAAACAAACAAAAAACUGAUAUACGAUAUCUUAAAUAUGAUAUUCAUCUUCUGGACACAUAUCUGUGUUUCCCUUGAUAGAUCUGUCGAAACAGCUAAGAUAACAUGAUGAAACCAUGGAUCUUGGUUUUUGUUGCGACAAACAAGACGAGCUCUUGCGAGGCUUCCAAAGACAGAUCGGUGGCUCAAGCCAAGGUCAGGUCCAAGGUGUUCCUCGGGCCAGCAGCCUCCUCGUCGGUGCCGUCCGCCAGCGGCUGCGGGGUGGUGCUGGACGACUCCCACUGCCCCAGAAAGUCUAUCUCGGCCGGAGGCUCCCCUCCACUGUGGUACUCCUUCCAAAACUCAGAGUUGGCUGCAAGCAUGCUACGGGCGCCGCCAUCCCCAGCUUGAACUGCCACGAGUGCUGGCGCCACCACUGCCAACGGCGCAACAGGGG